AUUGAACGCUGGCGGCAUGCUUUACACAUGCAAGUCGAACGGCAGCGCGGGCUUCGGCCUGGCGGCGAGUGGCGAACGGGUGAGUAAUAUAUCGGAACGUACCCAGGAGUGGGGGAUAACGUAGCGAAAGUUACGCUAAUACCGCAUACGUCCUAAGGGAGAAAGCGGGGGAUCGCAAGACCUCGUGCUCAUGGAGCGGCCGAUAACUGAUUAGCUAGUUGGUGGGGUAAAGGCUCACCAAGGCAACGAUCAGUAGCUGGUCUGAGAGGACGACCAUCCACACUGGGACUGUGACACGGUCCAGACUCCUACGGGAGGCAGCUGUGGGGAAUUUUGGACAAUGGGGGCAACCCUGAUCCAGCAAUGCCGCGUGAGUGAUGAAGGCCUUCGGGUUGUAAAGCUCUUUUCUCAGGGAAGAAACGACUCCUUCUAAUACAGGGGGUUCAUGACGGUACCUGAAGAAUAAGCACCGGCUAACUACGUGCCAGCCGCCGCAGUAAGAC
rnacentral:rRNA from 1 species